rnacentral:rRNA from 1 species
UGGGGAAUAUUGGACAAUGGGCGCAAGCCUGAUCCAGCCAUGCCGCGUGUGUGAAGAAGGCCUUUUGGUUGUAAAGCACUUUAAGCGAGGAGGAGGCUACUUGGAUUAAUACUCUAGGAUAGUGGACGUUACUCGCAGAAUAAGCACCGGCUAACUCUGUGCCAGCAGCCGCGGUAAUACAGAGGGUGCGAGCGUUAAUCGGAUUUACUGGGCGUAAAGCGUGCGUAGGCGGCUUCUUAAGUCGGAUGUGAAAUCCCUGAGCUUAACUUAGGAAUUGCAUUCGAUACUGGGAAGCUAGAGUAUGGGAGAGGAUGGUAGAAUUCCAGGUGUAGCGGAGAAAUGCGUAGAGAUCUGGAGGAAUACCGAUGGCGAAGGCAGCCAUCUGGCCUAAUACUGACGCUGAGGUACGAAAGCAUGGGGAGCAAACAGG